UACGAAGGGGGCUAGCGUUGCUCGGAAUCACUGGGCGUAAAGGGUGCGUAGGCGGGUCUUUAAGUCAGGGGUGAAAUCCUGGAGCUCAACUCCAGAACUGCCUUUGAUACUGAAGAUCUUGAGUUCGGGAGAGGUGAGUGGAACUGCGAGUGUAGAGGUGAAAUUCGUAGAUAUUCGCAAGAACACCAGUGGCGAAGGCGGCUCACUGCCCGAUACUGACGCUGAGGCACGAAAGCGUGGGGAGCAAACAGGG
rnacentral:rRNA from 1 species